ACACACCUCUCCCCUCUCCAAUCCCCCAAUGUUACAUAAUCAUUUCUUGUUGUAUUAGUAUUCAGUAUUUACAUCAUGACUGACUUUAUAUGACCAGUAUUAUUCACCACUGAAGUAUGCAAUGUUGUUGGUGAAAUCUCAAUUUUCU